rnacentral:misc_RNA from 1 species
GGAAAUUUUAUCUAGUACUUCAAGCAAUUAAAGCAUAAUUAACACCCUGCUUUUAGAUUGAUAAGAUCUGGAAAUAAGGCCUAUUCAAACUGCAAGAAGUCCCAUUUCUGUGAGUUAAAUCCCAAAGGUAAUAGAUGGCACAAAAAUGGUUGUUAUUAUGUUGUCAAUCCAUUCCAACUUUGACAAGUGAACACAGAAUAAAGCAUGUAUAAGAAUUACAGAAUGACCAUAGCCAGUCAUCAUUGAGGAGAACAAUAACUUAAAGAGGGGCUC